rnacentral:lncRNA from 1 species
CCGGUUAGCAACUUCGUGCAGAGCCCCACGUGCAGCUAAGGGUGUGAUCGAUUAGGGAUGCAUGCACGCCUUUCAUAUAAUGUAGUAUCCAAUAUGAAUGUGUUUGUGUGAGUCCAUUGCUUUAUGUAGAGUGAAUAAACUGAUUAUGUAAUAAGUCAUGGUUCCAAGACGUAAUAUUAUUGCGAUGAUCAUAAUUUUCUUGCACAAUUAUUUAUUGCGAGAUGUUGCAACGGUUCAUCCUAAUCAUAGGAACAAGAUAUUCCACAUGAUAUACUCUGUCGUAGUCUUGCAAGUAAUUAGAAAUAACCUUUAUCUACAUAGCAUGAGAUCUAAGGGUGUGUGAUGGGUUGUAAAAUAUCAUAGGGCUUACUGGAAAAUAGAACAACAAAUCAACUCAAUCCUAAUGUGGUAUGCUAGGAUAUGGUUCAUAUAUGCAGAAGCUAUUUACCUUCUUUCUGUCAGAAAGCAUGACUUGUUUUAUCUCUAUUAUAUUAGUCAUGCUUUGUCUAGUAUUUAUGUUAAUAAAAUCAUUUGGUAAAUUGCUCAUAUUUCCAACAGUAAUUCCCAUUCAGCAACAUGGACGAUAAUAAUAUUUUCUUGUGAUCCAUACAAAAAGUUCAAAAUUAGCCAAAAUACUGAACGGGGAUGUCCCGGUAGCUACACCUACUUUUUAUGGUCAGAAUCGGUGGAAUCGGAUGCGCUGCCUAAGAUUUGGUAGUAGACAUCCCGGACGGCAGGGUGGUGGCGGGGCUGAGAACGGCAGAUUGAGUCGCGGCGGCGGCAUGCGCUGCGACAGUCGGUCAGAGUAGGUGUGGCGACCAUCGGUGGUGGGGUAGUCUCAUCGCGAGUGGUUGGGUUCCUGCUGCAUUGUUUUUGGUUUCAGCGCAGCUGCUAGAUAUGUGUAAGAAAAUUUUGGGUAACUUUCUUUUGCAACAUAUGGGUAUAUAGGGCAUCUUUUGGACACUUUUUGUUUGCCCAAAGUGACCUAACUGACAACCUUUUUGACACAACGGCUAUUUUAAAGAAAGCAUAUUAAGCUGAGUGUGCAAACCACCUAGCAAAGGCUGAUUUCACCUCGGCAGGUUUGACACUCAGCGUAACGCACUCAGCGUACAUCAUGUCGGUCGGCAUACCGACGUAAGCCGAGUGCCUUUCGUCCACUAGUAGAGAAAUGACAGAACAAAACAUCGUAGGGUGUGCGAUGGGUUGUCCGAUUGUGAGUUAUGCCUGGUGCUAUGUUUGCUUGUAAAAAAUGAGUAAUUGUAUAAUGUAGCACUUAUUUUAGACCUAGUCUAGCCCAUUCAUCGCACACGGUUUUGAAAGAGUGUGCGUUGGCACCCCAAUCGCCAACCCAUCCGAGUACACGAUUGUUAAUUAUAACCGUAUGUGAUGGACCCUUCCUAUUGCACAUAGUUUGUAUGUUCUAACUAUGUGUGAUGGACUCAAUAUCGCAUUCAAUUUUUAUGCUCUAACCGCAGCCUAGGCUCGAGAUUAACCCAACACGAUGGUUGAUGAACUAUGAGCAGGCCCUUCUACUAUGUUAGUGAUCACUAGUUUAAAUAGGCAUUAUACUUCUCUCUUAUCUCCUGGCUGGGAUUUGGAUGAUGGUAUCAGGCGGUGUAAUCGUGUAGCUAUGAUGGUGGACGGGCGGCUAGUUAACAAACCAAUUUCCGCAAUUUCAAAUUCUAAUCCCUAGCAAUUCUUGUUGAUCGAGUGAGUUUCUCACAGUUGGUAUAAGAUUCAGUGGUCCUAGAGUUGCCGCGACACCAUCACUGGACGCGGUGGCAUGAUCGGCGAUGAGCGGAGGCGAUGGACAAGUCGUCUGAGGAAGGGUGCAGCAUGUACGCGCUUCAACGAGCGUAUUGCACCGUAGGUCUGGACCGGCUCUUCAAGGAUCACGAUGAGAACCUCCUUCAAGCGGUCGACAAUCUCAUCCAAUCCAACACUGCCACGCUCGAUGGCUUGCUUUCGGCUCAUGACCCAACAAUUAUAAUAGUAUGGAACAAUAAAAAAUUAUAAAUACGUUGGAGACGUAUCAUAACCCAACAAGAUCUAAAUUAAAUAUAUUGCUUGGAGUUGUUUUUUAGUUUAGUUGCAUUGCACAAUUUUUUUUAAGAGAAGCGGAAGGUGGAGAGGUAGGCACCUGGUCCUCCGCACUCUUCAUUUUGGAUAUGGUACUGAGCCUCUCUGACGGUCUGGGAGUUCAUGCUAUAACAUUGUGGAAAUUUAGAUCGAGAUGUUAGGUAUGAGUCUGUGCUGGCCUAAGUAGGCAUCCUGAAAGAGAUGAUCUCCACAAUGAGGAGAUAAUCAUUCUAUGCACCGCAUACCGAUGUAAAACUCAAGUAUAUCUAAAUGAAAUAUUUCUUUCUUGCGGGUGUUUUAUGUUUUAGUUGCACUGCACAACAUUAUUUGAAGAGAAGAGAACCCUCAUUGGUACCCAAGCCAACAUAAAGGAUCAAACUGUUGGGGAUGUUGAUGUUUCCCCUUGAUUCAUUUUUAGGUUUUUGCAUAUGUUUCAUAUGUUGGCUGUGAAGUGCGUAAAUGAAUGUUGCUCUGAAAUUUUAAUUCAAUAUGCAGGUCUAUUAUGAGAUGCAAAGCUUUGUGCAAAUGAAUGAUGUAUGCCUAUGUUUAUUUGAAUGUUUACUUUCAAUUUCAUUCACGUGACUAGUUAAGUAAUAAAAAAAUUGAGGAGUGUUUCAUCUGACUAUCAUUAGCCGGGGAGAGUUCCUAAAGAAAACAUUUAUACCCCUAACUUCUUCUUUUAGAAAGGAGGCGCUUGCUCGGCCUUAAAUUGAGGCCCUUAGAGCAUCUACAACAGGCGCCGAACGCGCCGCGCGCAAAAAACAGCUUUAGCGCACGCCUAUCGUCUGGUUUGGCGCGGCGCGCAGCGCUGGCUCCAGCAGCCGCGCUAAAAUGCAGCGCGCGCGCCGAUCCAGCAGCGUGCAAAAAUGCAGCGCGCGCGACUCGCCGGUGCAUUUCAUAUGGCAUUUUCAACACAAAAUGAAGUUGAUGAACAUUUUCAACACAAUAAAAUUUCACACAAACAAGUUGAUGAAGAAAAGUUCAUGCCCACAAGUUCAAAAUCAUGACCACAAGUUCAUCCAACCAAGUUCAAAAUGCAAAUCAAGUUCAAUACACAAAUGAAAGACACAUCAUUCCUCGUCCUCGUCCUCGUCUUCGUCCUCAUCCUCAUCUUCGGAAGACGAUUCUUCUGCCUCCGAAGAUGAAUCUUCCUCCCUCUCUUCAUCGCGCACCGCAUCACGUGAAGCUCCGACGGUGUUGGCAAGAUCUUCAACGGCAUCUCCAUGGGAAUGUGUGUGAGGAGGCACAUCGAAAGACAUUCCGCCCAUGGCGGCCGGAGGUGCAUCCAUGCCUCCCAUGAGAGAAGCAAAACUCAUACCUUCCAUGGUGGCCAUACCGGGACCUAAGUGAUCGGUCGGAGCGGUCAAUUCCACUCACGUUGCGAACAUCAAAGUGUUCCUUCAUCCGAAGCCAAUAAGCAUCUCUACUUUGAUCACCUCCAAUGGAUGGAUCCCUCGACACUUGCAACCAAGUAUUGCAUAGUAAGAUGCCAUUGGCGUUGCUGUAAUUGCCCGCUCUUCCUUUCGAUGCGUCGACAAUGCCCUCACCCUCCUCGUCCACCUCGAACUCAUGGUUUUUGAAAUGCAUGUCAUUGGUUUGAGACUAAUGUGAAUUGUUGGAGCCAACACCCAUCGUUGACAUGUAUGCAUCAUCAUUGAGACUACAAAGUUUUUUGAACAAUGCAAAUAAGCUAUGUAUAUGUGAAUGCAAUCAAAAAAUAACAAAAAAUGAAAAGUUGGAUUUUUUUACCUUGGAGGCAUUUCGUCGAACAUGUUGUGCGCGCCGGUCGCCGGCUCAACGAGUGAGCUCGCCGGCGCUUCGGUAGCCGCCGCGCCCGUCGUACGCCCCGCAAACUUCUUCCUCCUCGCCUUGGAGGUGCCGGAGCCGUCCGCCGCCUUGUUUUUCUUCGCCGAUGUCUUGCCCUUCUUUGGCCGCGCCGCAUUGGGGAGCUUUGAGAAGGAGGGGCGGCGGCUCGGGCCAGCGGCGGCGCGACGCCACCCGUCGCCGAGGUCAUCCGCGGCGGCAUGAAGAGGUCGCGCGCGAGGCCGAUGGUCGGAGGAGCUCUGGCGGAGGCGAGGCCAAUGCCACCCGGGCUAGGGUUUGCGGCGGCGGCGACGGGGGGUCGCGUGAAUAGGACGGGGUGAGCGGGGUUCCGGCACGUGCGUCCAUGGGGUGCGCGUGCCGGUGCCGGGGCGCGUGGGGCUUUGGAGGGGGAGAAGACAGAGCACAGCGCGAGCGCUCGAGUGUGCCGCGCGCGAAAGCGGGCGCCGCAAAUACACCGCGCGAGGUAGCGCUUCCUGCCGCGUGCCCAACUCCUUAUACCACGCGAGCGGUUAUUGCGCGCCCGCUGGAGCCAUCCGUCGGGUUACGCGCGCGCUAAACUGGGUAUAUUUACGGCGCGGCGCCUGUUUAGCGCGCCUGUUGGAGAUGCUCUUACAAAUCCACAAGUUCAAUGAUCCGAACAACAAAGUUAAAAGCAAAAGAUACAAGCCUACAGGCAGAAUCACAGCGGCGCAGCGCUGACAAGCCAACAACAAGAAGGAAAUGGGCUAUCGAGGUAGCGAGGGGCGGUGAUGAGACGGUGAUGUCCCCUACGGUGGUCGGCGCAUCUCAGUGCACCUUGCUCGCACCUUUGUUACGAGCUCCUGCACGCAUCCUCUGUCUUGUGGUUUUACUAGUAGCUUCCAAAGCUGCAAGAAAGACACCAUUUUGUAUAGAAGAUCAGCUGGAUGCUUGAUAAAAUGAACAUACAAAAUGAAGGUGGUUAUUCGUACGAAACUGCGUGUGGCAAGAAGGGUAUAGAAAGUGGGACGAAAUCACAUGUGUUGUCCAUGAUAUUGGAGGCGGUUUGCACAACCGCCGACUUCGUGCAGAGUAUUAACGAAUCAGGCUUUGAGGAGGAAAUGAAACUAGUGUUGUAAUAUAUUCCAAAAAUAUUUGGUUCCAGGAAACAUUUGAAUUAAUAGUAUAUGAGAAAAACAUAUUAUAUAUUUGUAUAGUUGAAAAAUAUUUGUCCAAUAUAGGUAGUAAAAUAAUAUAAUGGUUUUUUUCCAUGCAUGUUGGGUGGGCCUUCGAUGAGGUGGCAUAUGUGCAUGGCUUAUAUGUGUAUGUUGAAAUAAAUAGAAUUAAUGAGGGUCAAUCCAUAAUAAAAAAAUAAUUCUCAUGCAUAUUGUGCUGGAUCGUUGAUGAUGUGACAUGUGUGUAUGUUAAGAUAAUAGAAAUAACAAGGAUAAACUAUUUAGGUAUGUAGGAUAUGUUUUUAAUCUCAUUUUAUGGUACGUAUUGAUUAUGCAGAUUUGAUGAACGUUUUGGCAAAACCAUUAACUAUAGAAUGUUCUAGGCCAGAAAUAAAUAUGAUUUAAUGGGAUGAUAUAUUUAGCAUAUUUGAUGAGGCAGUUGAUGGAAUGAUAAUUAGGAACAAAAUAAAUGAAAUUAAAGUACGAUUGACUUUGAUUUCGUUGGGCAGCAUAUAUAAUACGUGGUCAGGGCCUCAAUCUACAUGCACUUCCCAGUUCCUCAUAUUCCUUGAUACAAUUUGUAAGCAGCAACAAUUAGCUAGCCAUGGCCAACCAGCAUCUGCUCCUCAUCGUCUUCAUAGCUUCCAUCCUCCAAGCGGCCACCUCCGACACAGCGUACGACCUUUUGGAGAAAAACAACUUUCCGCGGGCUCUCCUACCUCAGGGUGUGAAGUCGUACGUGAACCAUGGGGGCGCUGUUGAGGUGACCCUCCCCGCCUCGUGCGACUUCAACGUUACGGUUGCCGGUGGAUCACACAAGAUUCGGUUUGACAGCAUAGUCAGUGGGGUUAUCCGGCCCGGAUCCAUAACUCAACUAGGCGGCGUGAGGAUCCAGUUUGAGUGGGAUUUUCUUGCAUUCCACACGGUUCAACGCGUCGGUGACAAGCUCAGGUUUACUGGUAGUGAGCAUGCAGCCACAUUUGACCAGUCAUUUCCGGUUAGCAACUUCGUGCAGAGCCCCACGUGCAGCUAAGGGUGUGAUCGAUUAGGGAUGCAUGCACGCCUUUCAUAUAAUGUAAUAUCUAAUAUGAAUGUGUUUGUGUGAGUCCAUUGCUUUAUGUAGAGUGAAUAAACUGAUUAUGUAAUAAGUCAUGGUUCCAAGACCUAAUAUUAUUGCGAUGAUCAUAAUUUUCUUGCACAAUUAUUUAUUGCGAGAUGUUGCAGCGGUUCAUCCUAAUCAUAGGAACAAGAU